rnacentral:rRNA from 1 species
UACGGGGGGGGCAAGCGUUGUUCGGAAUUACUGGGCGUAAAGGGUUCGUAGGUGGCCAACUCAGUCAGACGUGAAAUCCCUCAGCUCAACUGGGGAACUGCGUCUGAUACUAGAUGGCUCGAGUGCAGGAGAGGAACGCGGAAUUCCAGGUGUAGCGGUGAAAUGCGUAGAUAUCUGGAGGAACACCGGUGGCGAAGGCGGCGUUCUGGACUGCAACUGACACUGAGGAACGAAGCCAGGGAGCAAAGCGGG